rnacentral:sRNA from 1 species
GCUGGGCGUGGUAAUGCACGCCUGUAAUCCCAGUGGCUUGGGAAGCUGAGGCAGGAGGAUUGUGAGUUCAAAGCCAGCCUCAU